ACAUUAACUUAUCUUUGUUUUAAUAAAGUAGAAACACUGACUGUGAAGAAGUUCUGUGAUGUAGUUUUGCAGUAAUCAAGACGCUUCAAGGUAUCAUAACAUGGAAUGGACAUUAAUAACUUUCACUGCCGGUAACUCUCUGCCGAAUGAUAUAGACGAGCGGGACUGAUUAUGACCGGGACUCGGUUGCCUAGGCAACCUAACAAACACGUUAGGAAGGGGAAUAUCCGGGAGCGCACUGGAGGGCGGAAGUAUAAACAACGCGGGAAGACGGACCGCUCGGAGGCACAGCACAGCCGGAAGUCGUCAAAUGACGCACUAGUCAACGAGCGGAAGUGACGGACCGCUCAUCCAAUGGGACUGUUUUGUGGUUACCGGGCAACCACAAACGGCGAGGAACAACACGCAUCAGAGCCAAGCACCGAGCGCAAAGAAAAUGGACACUAAUGGGGAAACGGAAAGGGAAUGUGAUGGCUUUGUAAUGGUAUCAUAACAUGGAAUGGACAUUAAUAACUUUCACUGCCGGUAACUCUCUGCCGAAUGAUAUAGACGAGCGGGACUGAUUAUGACCGGGACUCGGUUGCCUAGGCAACCUAACAAACACGUUAGGAAGGGGAAUAUCCGGGAGCGCACUGGAGGGCGGAAGUAUAAACAACGCGGGAAGACGGACCGCUCGGAGGCACAGCACAGCCGGAAGUCGUCAAAUGACGCACUAGUCAACGAGCGGAAGUGACGGACCGCUCAUCCAAUGGGACUGUUUUGUGGUUACCGGGCAACCACAAAUGGCGAGGAACAACACGCAUCAGAGCCAAGCACCGAGCGCAAAGAAAAUGGACACUAAUGGGGAAACGGAAAGGGAAUGUGAUGGCUUUGUAAUGGUCUGUAUAUUUUUUAUUCAUUGUGAAUUUUUAAUAUGGGGUUUCAACCGGAAGUGGUUGCCAUGACAACAUGAAUCAACUGUUGGAGGGAGCCAUCUUUAACGCAGGUGCUAUCACUUGCUAAAUUAACAUUAUGAUUGGCCAAUAGAGGAAUAAAAGGAUUGUAACACACAAGGGGAGCAUAUUAGCCUUGAGAAAGGGCCUAGUAAGGCCUGAAACGCGUUGGCACAGCUGGGGACAUUCGCUUUGCUGUUUGUGGAAGGAGCUAUUGCCGGACAAACCCAGAACGCCAUUUCCCGGGAGGCUAUCUGGUGACUAAAAACACGCUGGUCUGAGGAUAUCUAUCCUCCAACUAUCUGGUAAUUGCAUUCUCUAUAUGCAGCUCUGCUAGUGUCCUUUAUGCUGUAUGUGCUCCAUUUAGGAUAAAAAUACACUUUGUUUUUAUUGAAAAGGAUCCAUCUGUAUGAAAAAUUCAUGCUAUUUUAAAAAGGAAUAAAACAGUAUUACACUAGAUAUUCCUCUUUUCCUUUUUAUGACAUCACAAAUUGGAUUCUCAUCGAGACUGCCAGACGAUAUAUAUGAGGAAAUCAGAGAAUAUCUUACACGCCUGAUUGCAAGUAUUUUAAAGGGACGUCCACUCAAUAUAUUUUGAACAUUUCCCCACUUUCUCACUCCACUGUUUAUUCAUUGUCAUUUGGCGCCCAGUACAGUGUUUACCUAUUUUUUGCAUACUGUUGUUUCAUACGGGAUAGAGUUACGCCCAUACCUCUUGGUCUACACGGUUAAGGCAGCCAUCUCCACGCAUUGGAGAGGUGUUCCACCCAAUUUCCCUAUACUAAGAGACUAAGAAAUUUGUAAUGUUGCUAAAAAUGUUCUGUAUUGUUCUGUAGAAAUUUGUAGUUAUUACCCUUUGUGACGUAUUCAUUAUGUUUUCAUUAUGUGAAACUUGGCCAUAAAAACCUCUAGAAAGUAAACGAGCACAGCUCAGAAUCAGCUUUGACAUAGAUACCGCGUUUGUGUCUUGAUUUCUGACUCCAAGCAGCUGGUACAAGAAUCAUCAGACA